rnacentral:rRNA from 1 species
GUAGGUGGCGAGCGUUGUCCGGAAUUAUUGGGCGUAAAGCGCGCGCAGGCGGUUCUUUAAGUCUGAUGUGAAAGCCCACGGCUCAACCGUGGAGGGUCAUUGGAAACUGGAGAACUUGAGUACAGAAGAGGACAGCGGAAUUCCACGUGUAGCGGUGAAAUGCGUAGAGAUGUGGAGGAACACCAGUGGCGAAGGCGGCUUUCUGGUCUGUAACUGACGCUGAGGCGCGAAAGCGUGGGGAGCAAACAGGAUUAGAUACCCUGGUAGUCCACGCCGUAAACGAUGAGUGCUAAGUGUUAGGGGGGUUUCCGCCCCCCUUAGUGCUGCAGCUAACGCAUUAAGCACUCCGCCUGGGAGUACGGCCGCAAGGCUG